UACGUAGGGGCAAGCGUUGUCCGGAUUUAUUGGCGUAAAGCGCUCGCAGGUGGUCCGUUGCGUCGUGCGUGAAAGACCCCGGCUCAACCGGGGAGGGUCGUGCGAUACGGGCAGACUAGAGUGCGGUAGGGGAGAUUGGAAUUCCUGGUGUAGCGGUGGAAUGCGCAGAUAUCAGGAGGAACACCGAUGGCGAAGGCAGAUCGUCUGGGCCGUAACUGACGCUGAGGAGCGAAAGCAUGGGAGCGAACAGGAUUAGAU
rnacentral:rRNA from 1 species